GUGAAGCGGGAAGAGCUCAAAUUUGAAAUCUGGUAGCCUCAGGCUAUCCGAGUUGUAAUCUAUAGAUGCGUUUUCCGCGCUGGCCCAUGUACAAGUGCCUUGGAAUAGGCUGUCAUAGAGGGUGAGAAUCCCGUCCCUGACAUGGACUACCAGUGCUUUGUGAUACGUAUUCAACGAGUCGAGUUGUUUGGGAAUGCAGCUCAAAAUGGGUGGUAAAUUCCAUCUAAAGCUAAAUAUUGGCGAGAGACCGAUAGCGAACAAGUACCGUGAGGGAAAGAUGAAAAGCACUUUGGAAAGAGAGUUAAACAGUAUGUGAAAUUGUUGAAAGGGAAACGAUUGAAGUCAGUCGUGUCUAUUGGACUCAGCCGGUUCUGCCGGUGUACUUCCUUUAGACGGGGUCAACAUCAGUUUUGAUCGCUGGAAAAGGGCUGGAGGAAUGUAGCACUCUCGGGUGAACUUAUAGCCUUCAGUCGUAUGCAGUGGUUGGGACUGAGGAACGCAGCACGCCUUUAUGGCCGGGGUUCGCCCACGUACGUGCUUAGGAUGUUGACAUAAUGGCUUUAAACGAC
rnacentral:rRNA from 2 species